rnacentral:rRNA from 1 species
UGGCGGAUGGGCAUGCGGCGCAUUAGCUAGUCGGCGGGGUAACGGCCCACCGAGGCGACGAUGCGUAGGGGUUCUGAGAGGAAGGUCCCCCACACUGGUACUGAGACACGGACCAGACUCCUACGGGAGGCAGCAGUGAGGAAUAUUGGUCAAUGGGCGCGAGCCUGAACCAGCCAAGUCGCGUGAGGGAUGACGGUCCUACGGAUUGUAAACCUCUUUUGCCGGGGAGCAAGCGUGCGUUCGUGAACGCGCGUCGAGAGUACCCGGAGAAAAAGCAUCGGCUAACUCCGUGCCAGCAGCCGCGGUAAUACGGAGGAUGCGAGCGUUAUCCGGAUUUAUUGGGUUUAAGGGGUGCGUAGGCGGGAUGCCAAGUCAGCGGUAAAAAUGCGGUGCUCAACGCCGUCGAGCCGUUGAAACUGGCGUUCUUGAGUGGGCGAGAAGUAUGCGGAAUGCGUGGUGUAGCGGUGAAAUGCAUAGAUAUCACGCAGAACUCCGAUUGCGAAGGCAGCAUACCGGCGCCCUACUGACGCUGAGGCACGAAAGCGUGGGUAUCGAACAGGAUUAGAUACCCUGGUAGUCCACGCAGUAAACGAUGAAUGCUAACUGUCCGGCUCGAAUGAGCGCUGG